CAGCUUCAAAUCCGUAUACUGAUGGAAGGCGGAACCAAGUUUUCCAUCGUGCUUUCAGUCUACGGUUUCAACUAGCCAGCUGUAAAACUUCAAGUUAUUCUAGUUGGAAUAAUUGGUUGUAUGUGGUGAGAUGUAUAGCUAGUUCAGUUGCAGCUUUUCUGGUUGCGAAGUGACAGGAGCGGCACUCACUAAUGAGAGGUUAAGGGUGGAAACAGCCGGUGAAGUAAUCCUCUGCGGACCAGACUGUCUCAUUUUAGUUCAGCUUUAGUGGUCUGUGAAGGCUUGGUCCUCUGUGGGCAGGGUCCUUCAAAGGAUGCCAUGUAGGCUGUGUGUCCCUGACCUGGGACACAGCUUACAUGUAGAUCAUAAUCUCCUUGCCUUGCCCCCUUUAGCCACCUGUAACAUUUAUAGGCAUAGAAAUGAGUCAGCCAAGAUGGUGUGACAACACUGCUCGGGGGGCUGUUGCACUACAAUAUUGUCCCCUUGAGCCAUACUUUUUCAAGGUAAAUCUCAGUAAAGCUUGUUCUUCAUGCCUGCUUUUGAUCCUCCAAAUAUGAAAUAUGAAAUUAAGAGCAAAUACAACAUGUCCCGACCUCAUCAAAAACACCCUCCACACCUCCUCUGAUAUCUUCAGCGCAGUCCCUAAAUGACCCAGAUGUAAUACUUGUCAGGUCUCCCACUCACAGGAACCUGUACUUUAUCCCAAUCACGACUCCUGCGGCUUUGCCUUCAGGUCUAACUCUGUUUUUAAAUAUGUUUAAAAUUGUAAUGAUUAGCUCAGUGCUGUCUAGUGGUGUUUAUUCACUGUCUUGUAUUAUAGAGACUGCAAAUACCUCCCUGAGCACCCCUGAUAAAGUAAAAUGAGCAAAGAGGCAGACUGGAAAGGCGCCAGACAGAGAGUACCAGAGGAAUAUGCCACUUUGAAUAAGGAAAGACAAAGAACGACAGUUAAUUUCCAUCACAGAUUCCUGUUGUCACAUAAAAUCGUCAGCCCCUUUACCCUGUCUCUAAAAUUUACAGGACAAUCAGGGGUAUUAACAGACUUGAUUCAACUAACUUCCUACUUGAACUGAUGGCUGCACUAAAGAAGAAACAUCUUCUUUUCUCUUCUGUGUCGAAUCGCUCCAAUAUUAAAUUCAUUGCUUAACAGGCCAUAGAGUGCACUGUGGAAGAUUUAUGCCAAGUGUUGCAAGGCUGGUGUGCCUUAUUCAUAGCACCUUCAUAUUUCAUUAAAGCAGCUCAGGCAGAAGAAAUUGAA